GCGCCCUCGGUCGUCCGGCUGGCAAACGGGCCAGCGACCUGGCGGUAUAUUAACCCCGUUGCUGAGACUCCAAGAGGUGAGAGGGAAAGGGCCUUGGAGAAGCUCUUUGGAGGCUUCCUAUCCUCUUGUAUUCCAGGAGAAUCCCAAAACAUUCUGCCAAGACCCAGAUACUCGCUCUUCUGACUGCCAAAGCACACUACUGAGGCGAAAGUUAAAUCACAGCAGGAAUCCUGAUCAAGAAGAAGGGUAGUGGCUACCAAAAAUCCCCCUCCAAAAGAUCUUCUUGUCCUCCGACAUCAUCACACAGGGAUUUUUGACAACUUAGGCAAAUACAGGCUAACAACACUUAGAAAUUAACUUUCUGAGAUGAAUAAGAUAAUUUAUGCAUAAAUGAGAGAUACGGGGAAGGAACGUGUUUAGAAAAUGCAAUACUACACAGUCACUCAUCUCAAGAAGACUCUCAAGCUUUGCCAAAAAUUUACAAAGGAAAAAGGAAAACAUGU